rnacentral:lncRNA from 1 species
CAUCUCCUUCCCGAGUUUCUAAGAUUCCUUCGAUUUUAGUUUUUUGAGUCUUUUAGGCUAACAACUUGAGAUAAAGUUCACUUUUAGAUGGCAUGAUUUCCUCCCAUUUAAGGUUCUUUGGGGUGAAAAUUUAUUCUUGCAUUUGGCUUGAAAAAGUAUUGUUAAUCCUUUUAGAGUGGCUUGUUUCGGUCCUAGGGCAAUGGUGGUCAUAGUCUUGUAGUAACUCUUUGGUUACGAUAGUAUUUUUGUUCCUGAUUUUACAUCACAUCUUGAUAUUUGCAAAUUUAAGAUCAAGUAGUCUAAAAUAUUAAGAUUAGUCAUGAAGAUCGAAAAAUCUAGAAAGAUAUUGAAUAAUAUCAUUCCAUUUUUCAGACUAGCUUCUAUUAGGUCUAGGAGCGCAUUGGAGAAUUUUAAAUUCCUGUAAUCUCUAACAUAUUUUAGGACUGAAGCAUCCUGACCUUUUCUUAAUUGUCAAGGAUCUUGUGCCAACCUGAACAAGCCUUUUAUGGAGAUAUUGGUGUCCUUCUUAGAACAAAUCUCUUCUAAAUCCUCCUUUCCUAACAAUUGAAGAGCCUUCUAGACUGAAUCAAUAGAUAGAAAUUUCUUUAUGAUCUUUGCACACGCAUGCCCACCUCUCCAUGUUGAUGUCCAUUCUCCAACCCAGCACUAUUCAUAAAAAUACCACUUGCCAUACGAAUUCCUUAUGGUGCAUGGUUCCAACAACAGCAUUACUCUGCACAUUGGAUGCUGAUGAAGCUGGUAAUCAGAACUAUAUUGCAGGUUUUCAAAUCAUUGCUUAAUAAUUAUUUUUAAGAUGUUACAGACUAUUUGGCUGAAAAUUUUGAACACUUACUCAUAAUUAUUCAACAUACGUAACAUAAUGGAGAGCGCUCAAA